GGUGAGGAAAAUAUUUUUGUAUUUUUUGAAUAUCAAAAACUAUUUAAAAUGAAUUAAAAAUAACCAGAAAAGAGAAAAUUCACAAAAAAUAUCAACUGAUAAAAUAAAAAAUAUUAAAAAUUAAAAUUAGAAACUAGAAAUUAUUUGGAGAAGAAUGCAAUUGGUUCCAUAAUUUUUGGACCAAUAAUAAAAGAGAUCUGGAUUUUUGAAAUAAAAGGAAAUAAAGAAAAUAAAAUCA
rnacentral:lncRNA from 1 species